rnacentral:rRNA from 1 species
GAUGAAGGCUGGCUGCGUGCCUAAUACACGCAACCCAAGCCAGCAUACGAUGAUCUUUCUCCUCUGGAGUUAGCGGCGGACGGGUUAGUAACACUGGGAUAACCUACCUAUAAGACUGGGAUAACUGCGGGAAACCGGAACUAAUACCGGAUAAUAGAUUUAACCGCAUGGUUCAAUACUGAAAGACGGUUUUGCUGUCACUUAUAGAUGGAUCCGCGCCGCAUUAGCUAGUUGGUAAGGUAACGGCUUACCAAGGCAACGAUGCGUAGCCGACCUGAGAGGGUGAUCGGCCACACUGGAACUGAGACGCGGUCCAGACUCCUACGGGAGGCAGCAGUAGGGAAUCUUCCGCAAUGGGCGACAGCCUGACGGAGCAACGCCGCGUGAGUGAUGAAGGUCUUCGGAUCGUAAAACUCUGUUAUUAGGGAAGAACACAUGUGUAAGUAACUAUGCACGUCUUGACGGUACCUAAUCAGAAAGCCACGGGUGAGUACGUG